rnacentral:lncRNA from 1 species
CUUUGUAGGCGAUGACGAUUUGAGCUUUUUGGAGGGUUAGCAUCAAAUGAGAGGUGAAGAUCAUUCAUUUUGUUGAUAGCACCUAAAGGGAUAUUGGAUUAACUUUCUUGAAGAUAAACUUAUUUCUUGACUUCCUAAUAAUCCAUGAAGUACAAUUAAAGGUCAUUGACCAGAAGCCAUUGAAAGAUCCAAGAGGAGAGAGUAGUAAGAUGGAAAGACUUUAUGCGAAAGGAGAGUGGAGAUUUAAACCAAACAGCUCUACAAAAAUCACAGUGAAUGAAUAGGUG